GGGCCGUUAGCUCAGUUGGCAGAGCACCGGACUUUUAAUCCGGGUGUCACAGGUUCGAAUCCUGUACGGCCCACCA
rnacentral:tRNA from 2 species